UUUAGCUUUGUGUGGGAGCUUGUCGCGCCCUCGAUGAGGUGUACUGCUGUGUGUUGUAGUGCGAUAGGUAUGAGCUGCAGUACGUUGCGGAGGGCCAGUGCUGCGAAGCAAGAUUUGCCGCUUUCAAGUUGCUGGAAGGACACUGGUUCUGUGUGAUCUACAAGGAGUCGGCAGUGACUGGUCGUUCAUCAGAUCUGUCAGCCUGUGCCAACGGCCUCUCCGUACACGUGCAUCAGACAUUGCCACUCCGACGCUGAUUGGAUUUUGAAAGCAUGUCCAGGCUUGGUAUUUGUCAGUCGUCCUGUUAUACGUCUCAAUGGGCCACAUUAUAAGAGGUCGUGGCUGUUUGUGCACCACACGCUGUAUUAUGUUGUUCUUCCUCACAACCUUGGGCCUGUUGUGCUCUCUCUAAUGACUAAGCAGUAGAUAAAACAACAGCUGCUCAUGAAAGUGCCAUGUACAGUAUGAAUACAGAAUACACUCUUGUAGAAAAUCUAGAAUAUCAAUAAUUAAAUG